UAAAAUCCCUCCCUCACGCUCCACUCCUUUCGCAGACAAACUCCUAGAAAGCUGCUGCGCCCACUCGCCCCCCUCGCCCCCCUCGCCCCCGCCCAGCCCUCGGAAAGGGUCCUGCCAGCCUCCCAGCGACCUGUGUCACAGGCUCCGCCUGCGUGAGGUCCAGGGGCCGCAGCAAACUGGGCGUUUGGACAGCAGGAAAGUGUCCUCAGCUGCGCGGUGGGUGUGGGCAGGGCUGGUUCCUCGGGGCGAGGCGGGGUGCUCGUCUCCCAGCUCCAGAGGGCUGCUGGCGCCCCUCAGCCGGCCCUGAUCCAGGAUGGCCUCGUCUGGAGUCCCUUCCCUUUGUGACACCGGCCCAGGCCAGGCAGUAGGUGAUAGACACACACCAGCAAAGAAUCCGGAAGUCCAGCCAGUCCCUCAGCAAGGUGAGCACUCUCCCCGACGUACCACUUCCUCGUGCAUCCUUCAGAGAUGCACCCUGUCGUGUACACGCUUUUUUUUUUUUUACAAGUUUAUUCACGUACGGUAAACGGCGCACGUAAAAGCGUACAAUUGAAUGAGCUGAGACGCGUAGACACCCCGGGACACUUUGCCACAUUCAGGACAGUGAACAUCUCCAUCAGCCAAAGUCUCUGCAUUUUAUUUUUAUGGUAACGAUGUAGCCAGGACCGAGCAGGGGCCUCCUUCCCACUGCGUAACUGCUGCCUCGUCGGGCUGGGCCUGCCUGUCCGUCAGUCCAUCUCAGGCCCUUACGAACCUCCUGCUAAAAAUGCCUGUGUGGGGCUUCCGUGGUGGCGCAGUGGUUAAGAAUCCGCCUGCCAAUGCAGGGGACACGGGUUCGAGCCCUGGGCCAGGAAGAUCCCACAUGCCGCGGAGCAACUAAGCCCGUGUGCCACAGCUACUGAGCCCGCGUGCUACAACUACUGAAGCCCGCGCGCCUAGAGCCCAUGCUCUUCAACAGGAGAAGCCACUGCAAUGAGAAGCCCGCGCACCGCAACGAAGAGCAGCCCCUGCUCGCCGCAACUAGAGAAAAGCCCGCACACAGCAAUGAAGAUCCAACGCAGCCAAAAGUAAAUAAAUUUAUAAAAAAUAAAAUAAAAAGACCUGUGUGCCUGUCCCUGUGCACAGCUGCCCGGUUGCUGUAAGAUAACUUCCUGGCAGCGCUACCCGAGCCGAGGGGUUGCUUCUCGUCAGAUCUGGCAACGUUCCC
rnacentral:lncRNA from 1 species